GAACGCUAGCGACAGGCUUAACACAUGCAAGUCGAGGGGCAGCAUAAAAGUAGCAAUACUUGGUGGCGACCGGCGCACGGGUGAGUAACGCGUAUGCAACCUACCUAUCAGAGGGGAAUAACCCGGCGAAAGUCGGACUAAUACCGCAUAAAACAGGGACACCGCAUGGUGAUAUUUGUUAAAGAAAUUCGCUGAUAGAUGGGCGUGCGUUCCAUUAGGUAGUUGGUGAGGUAACGGCUCACCAAGCCGACGAUGGAUAGGGGAACUGAGAGGUUGGUCCCCCACACUGGUACUGAGACACGGACCAGACUCCUACGGGAGGCAGCAGUGAGGAAUAUUGGUCAAUGGGCGAGAGCCUGAACCAGCCAAGUCGCGUGAAGGGAAAAGAAGGAUCUAUGGUUCGUAAACUUCUUUUGCAGGGGAAUAAAGUGCAGGACGUGUCCUGUUUUGUAUGUACCCUGAGAAUAAGGAUCGGCUAACUCCGUGCCAGCAGCUGC
rnacentral:rRNA from 1 species